GACGAACGCUGGCGGCGUGCUUAACACAUGCAAGUCGAACGGUGAAGGGAUCAGCUUGCUGGUUCUGGAUGAGUGGCGAACGGGUGAGUAACACGUGAGUAACCUGCCCCCUUCUUCUGGAUAACCGCAUGAAAGUGUGGCUAAUACGGGAUAUUCUGGGUCUGUCGCAUGAUGGGCCCGGGAAAGAUAUUGUUUCGGUGGGGGAUGGGCUCGCGGCCUAUCAGCUUGUUGGUGGGGUGAUGGCCUACCAAGGCGGUGACGGGUAGCCGGCCUGAGAGGGUGGACGGUCACACUGGGACUGAGACACGGCCCAGACUCCUACGGGAGGCAGCAGUGGGGAAUAUUGCACAAUGGGCGCAAGCCUGAUGCAGCGACGCCGCGUGAGGGAUGGAGGCCUUCGGGUUGUAAACCUCUUUCGCCAGUGAAGCAGGCCUGCUCCUU
rnacentral:rRNA from 1 species